AGUCAAACGGCACGAUGAGCCGCGUUUCCAGCCACUUGACGGCCUCGAUCGAAUCGUUGGUUAUGGCACACCACAUGAGCAGCCCAAUGUCGACAUCCUUGGCGUAGCGUGUCACCAAUAGGUCGAGCGUUUUGACCUCGUCGACGGUGACUGCCGAAGCGGCGGCCGCGCGCACCGCGAGCCUGUCGGGUUCGCCCCACCGCGCGAUACAGGGACCUGCGCCAUCCAGCGUCCAUCGCAUGACGCUGUCGUCCCCGUGCACGGUGGCGCCGACGAGUACGGGCGUGAUCGUCGGGCACAGGUCCAGUUGGGCCACCAUGGUCAGGACGUCCAGAGCGCCCUUGCGCGCCGCGCGGUACACGGCAUGACCGAUCUCACGCUCGUUGUCUCGGCACACGGUCCUCAAAUCGUGUGCCUCCAUAAAGCGCAACAUGUCGGUGUGGCCCUUGCGGAUGGCGUAUGCCGCACGGUCGGCGGUGAACGACACAAAGCCCUGGCAGCCCGUCUCCGCCAUCCAUUCGAUCAUGUCGGGCCGCGCCGACUUCCAGGCCGCGUCGCCCACCCUGGAUGUGCAUGUACAGUGCGGGUUGUCAUAGACCUGCAUGUCGUGCGCGUAGAUGAGCGUGUCGAGACAUUGGGCGACGGCCGCGGUGUAGGCCAGCCGGUCGCCAUAGCGUAGUUCCUUGCGCGCGGUGCGCGACGUUCGGAUCAGGUGGCGCACAAUGGCAGUGAGACCGUGCGACGCUGCCAAUACCGUGGCCUCGACCGUCGAGUUACCAAUCGAGCGGUUGUUGGCGUGCGUAAUCACUGGCGGCGGCACGCCGUCGUCGCUGUCUUGUUGCUCGCAACCGCCGGCCGUCUGCGUGCGCGCGUGCAAGUGCCGACGAGAAACCCCCAAAAAAACAUGGGACAAAGGGAAAGAGAGGCCAACACAGAGGCAGUUUAGAUGCUGUCGCGUGUCAAGUCCACCAUCACAGGCAGACAUCCGCGAGCGCACGAGCAAGCCAACGAGCAAACGCGCGCACACGCCCAUAAAAAAGGGAGGACUAUGGGUGGGGGAAUAAAAUAGAAUAGGCGAAGCGCACGAACCAAGAGGCUACUCAGAACAAGAGCAAUGACGUCGAAACGCUUGCCAUUGACAGCGUCAACGAUGGCCGAGAUGCUGAGAGUGCGCGCGCGCAGUGCUAUAGCCGCGAUGAUGAUCUCGACCGGUGCGCCCGACGCCAACAGUCGGUGCAUGCGUUGCGCACCCCACCGCACGGCGAGGUCGGCCGGCGAGACCGAGACAAAGAGCGUCGAUGCGCAUCGCAGCGCCCACAGGUCCGAAGGCCGUUCGAUCGCCGCAGUGAUUUUGGCCAGGAUUUCAGGCGGCAUCGCCGUCAAGUACGCAACCGACGGCGGCGUGUCGUCUGUGGCGGGGCCGCACUGUGCGCUCGUCACAUCGACGUCCAUGCUUUUGGUGCCUUUUUUCCUCACGUUGCUCGAUCCUCUUUCUUUCCUGGUGUUUGGCGCGUGGGCCUCGUGUGCUGUCUUGGCGCCCAAAAAAAGGGUGUGACAGAAAUGCAAAAGACCGCCAAAGGCGUCUCUGCCC
rnacentral:lncRNA from 1 species